GACGAACGCUGGCGGCGUGCUUAACACAUGCAAGUCGAACGGAAAGGCCCUGCUUUUGUGGGGUGCUCGAGUGGCGAACGGGUGAGUAACACGUGAGUAACCUGCCCUUGACUUUGGGAUAACUCCAGGAAACUGGGGCUAAUACCGGAUAGGAGCUCCUGCUGCAUGGUGGGGGUUGGAAAGUUUCGGCGGUUGGGGAUGGACUCGCGGCUUAUCAGCUUGUUGGUGGGGUAGUGGCUUACCAAGGCUUUGACGGGUAGCCGGCCUGAGAGGGUGACCGGCCACAUUGGGACUGAGAUACGGCCCAGACUCCUACGGGAGGCAGCAGUGGGGAAUAUUGCACAAUGGGCGGAAGCCUGACGCAGCAACGCCGCGUGCGGGAUGACGGCCUUCGGGUUGUAAACCGCUUUCGCCUGUGACGAAGCGUGAGUGACGGUAAUGGGUAAAGAAGCACCGGCUAACUACGUG
rnacentral:rRNA from 1 species